CGGGGCGUGGCUCAGAGGUGAGAGCGCCUGGUUCGGGACCAGGAGGUCGGAGGUUCAAAUCCUCUCGCCCCGACCA
rnacentral:tRNA from 1 species